rnacentral:rRNA from 1 species
GACGAACGCUGGCGGCGUGCAUAAUACAUGCAAGUAGAACGCAGUUGCGAAAGGGUGCGUAACGCGUAGGUAACUGCCUCAUAGCGGGGGAUAACUAUUGGAAAAGAUAGCUAAUACCGCAUACUGUGCUAUGGACCUGCGUUGUAUUAGCUAUUUGGUUAGGUAAAGGCUCAACAAGGCGACGAUACAUCGCCGACCUGAGAGGGUGCUCGUCCAACACGGGACUGGUACUCGGCCGAGAAACCCACGUGAGGCAGCAGUAGGGAAUCUUCGGCAAUAGACGGAAGUCUGACCGAGCAACGCCGCGUGAGUGGAGAAGGUUUUCGGUGCGCAAAGCGCUGUCGUUAGAGAAGCGGUAACUAACCAGAAACAGACGGCUAACUACGUGCCAGCAGCCGCGGUAAUUC